AUGCUGCCAGUGCCAUACCACAAUUCGUGGUCUCUCUAUGUUGUUGAUGUCGACGAGAAGACGCUACUUGUUAAGGACCCGUGCGAGACCUCAAAUGGAGAGGACGCCAUGAAACUGAAGCACGAAGAUAAUGCAAACCACAUCAUCGAGGGACUCCGUCGAUGCAUCCAUGAAAACAUUGCAGGCUGGUAUGUGCCAGCUCAAGGGUGGAGGGUGAACUACAAUGUAGGGAUGCACCCCAACAGCGAAAUCCAUGACAGCCACCUGCAUGUGGUGAACUACAUCAGGGAGUUCACGGGCCUGUACAUCUACAAUCCUCUCACACCGAAUCGCCUACACUACUUCCGGCAGAUGAUUGCUUACGAGGUCAUUUCAAUGAGGGGAAACAAAGCAGAGCUACCUGAUUUUAUGCUGGAGGUGGUGCCAUUCUGA
rnacentral:rRNA from 1 species